GACUGUGUAGCUCAGUGGUUAGUAGCACCAGUCCUAGUAUGCCUGAGGGCCUUUGGUUCAAUCCCCAAUAUGGCCA